rnacentral:rRNA from 1 species
UCUUAGUGGCGGACGGGUGAGUAACGCGUGGGGAACCUGCCCUGUACAGGGGGAUAACACUUAGAAAUAGGUGCUAAUACCGCAUAAGCGCACAGGGCCGCAUGGCCCGGUGUGAAAAACUCCGGUGGUGUAAGAUGGACCCGCGUCUGAUUAGCUUGUUGGCGGGGUAGAGGCCCACCAAGGCGACGAUCAGUAGCCGGCCUGAGAGGGUGGACGGCCACAUUGGGACUGAGACACGGCCCAAACUCCUACGGAAGGCAGCAG